rnacentral:rRNA from 1 species
GACGAACGCUGGCGGCGUGCUUAACACAUGCAAGUCGAACGGAAAGGCCCUGCUUUUGUGGGGUGCUCGAGUGGCGAACGGGUGAGUAACACGUGAGUAACCUGCCCUUGACUUUGGGAUAACUUCAGGAAACUGGGGCUAAUACCGGAUAGGAGCUCCUGCUGCCUGGUGGGGGUUGGAAAGUUUCGGCGGUUGGGGAUGGACUCGCGGCUUAUCAGCUUGUUGGUGGGGUAGUGGCUUACCAAGGCUUUGAAGGGUAGCCGGCCUGAGAGGGUGACCGGCGACAAUGGGACUGAGAUACGGCCCAGACUCGUACGGGAGGCAGCAGUGGGGAAUAUUGCACAAUGGGCGGAAGCCUGAUGCAGCAACGCCGCGUGCGGGAUGACGGCCUUCGGGUGGUAAACCGCUUUCGCCUGUGACGAAGCGUGAGUGACGGUAAUGGGUAAAGAAGCACCGGCUAACUACGUG